ACGGCCUAUUGGUUGUAAACCGCUUUUGAUAGGGAAGAAGUUCUGACGGUACCUAUCGAAUCAGCAUCGGCUAACUCCGUGCCAGCAGCCGCGGUAAUACGGAGGAUGCAAGCGUUAUCCGGAAUUAUUGGGCGUAAAGCGUCCGUAGGUGGUUGUUCAAGUCUGCUGUUAAAGCGUGCGGCUUAACCGCAUACCAGCAGUGGAAACUGGGCGACUAGAGUGCGGUAGGGGUCAGGGGAAUUCCCAGUGUAGCGGUGAAAUGCGUAGAUAUUGGGAAGAACACCGG
rnacentral:rRNA from 1 species